AACAGGAUUAGAUACCCUGGUAGUCACGCCGUAAACGAUGUCGACUUGGAGGUUGUGCCCUUGAGGCGUGGCUUCCGGAGCUAACGCGUUAAGUCGACCGCCUGGGGAGUACGGCCGCAAGGUUAAAACUCAAAUGAAUUGACGGGGGCCCGCACAAGCGGUGGAGCAUGUGGUUUAAUUCGAUGCAACGCGAAGAACCUUACCUGGCCUUGACAUCCAGAGAACUUAGCAGAGAUGCUUUGGUGCCUUCGGGAACUCUGAGACAGGUGCUGCAUGGCUGUCGUCAGCUCGUGUUGUGAAAUGUUGGGUUAAGUCCCGCAACGAGCGCAACCCUUAUCCUUUGUUGCCAGCGGCUCGGCCGGGAACUCAAAGGAGACUGCCGGUGAUAAACCGGAGGAAGGUGGGGAUGACGUCAAGUCAUCAUGGCCCUUACGGCCAGGGCUACACACGUGCUACAAUGGCGCAUACAAAGAGAAGCGACCUCGCGAGAGCAAGCGGACCUCAUAAAGUGCGUCGUAGUCCGGAUUGGAGUCUGCAACUCGACUCCAUGAAGUCGGAAUCGCUAGUAAUCGUAGAUCAGAAUGCUACGGUGAAUACGUUCCCGGGCCUUGUACACACCGCCCGUCACACCAUGGGAGUGGGUUGCAAAAGAAGUAGGUAGCUUAACCUUCGGGAGGGCGCUUACCACUUUGUGAUUCAUGACUGGGGUGAAGUCGUAACAAGGUAACC
rnacentral:rRNA from 1 species